rnacentral:rRNA from 1 species
GACGAACCGUACGAACGUUAUUCGGAAUCACUGGGCGUAAAGGGUGCGUAGGCGGGUUUUUAAGUCAGAGGUGAAAUCCUGGAGCUCAACUCCAGAACUGCCUUUGAUACUGAAAGUCUUGAGUAUGGGAGAGGUGAGUGGAACUGCGAGUGUAGAGGUGAAAUUCGUAGAUAUUCGCAAGAACACCAGUGGCGAAGGCGGCUCACUGGCCCAUUACUGACGCUGAGGCACGAAAGCGUGGGGAGCAAACAGG